rnacentral:lncRNA from 1 species
AAUGGUCAUUUUCUUAAAUUUUGGAUGUAUUUAGAAUUCUAAAUAAUUUCCACAGAGUUCUAUUUCUAAUCUAGUUUUAUUUCAUGCAAACUUGGUAGAAUUAAACUUUUCGGUGAUUUUUAUUUUCAGCCUAAUAAAGAUGUUGUGGAACAAAUGGAAAAAUGCAUUCAAGAAAAAGAUGAAAAGUUAAAGACUGUAGAAGAAUUACUUGAAACUGGACUUAUUCAGGUGGCCACUAAAGAGGAGGAACUGAAUGCAAUAAGAACAGAAAAUUCAUCUCUGACGAAAGAAGUUCAAGACUUAAAGGCUAAGCAAAAUGAUCAGGUUUCUUUUGCAUCUUUAGUUGAAGAACUUAAGAAAGUGAUCCAUGAGAAAGAUGGAAAGAUCAAGUCUGUGGAAGAGCUUCUGGAAGCUGAAGUUCUCAAAGUUGCUAAUAAGGAGAAAACUGUUCAGGAUUUGAAACAGGAAAUAGAGACUCUAAAAGAAGAAAUAGGAAAUAUCCAGCUUGAAAAGGCUCAACAGGUAAAAAUCUAAGAGCCAUAGCAUGACAGAUUUAUAGUGUAUAUGAUAUUUA